rnacentral:rRNA from 1 species
UACACCUACGGGGGGCAGCAGUGAGGAACAUUGGUCAAUGGCCGGAAGGCUGAACCAGCCAAGCCGCGUGAAGGACGAAGGUGCCAAGCAUUGUAAACUUCUUUUGUCAAGGGACAAAAUCAGGCUCGAGAGCCUGACCGAGGGUACUUGAAGAAAAAGCAUCGGCUAACUCCGUGCCAGCAGCCGCGGUAAUACGGAGGAUGCGAGCGUUAUCCGGAUUUAUUGGGUUUAAAGGGUGCGUAGGCGGGCUGUUAAGUCAGCGGUAAAACCCCGGGGCUCAACCCCGGCGAGCCGGUGGAACUGGG